CUCCUCUUUCUUGCACAUUUCCGUCCUAGGACUCGAAUGGUGGGAUACUUAGGUACCCAUCAGUGCAGGAAGCACCUGCAGGGCAGAUGGAAGGAAGGGAGGAGGAUGGUGAUAAAGUGAAACAAAGCUCAGAAUCCUUGAACCUGAAUCUACCCAGCCUAACCCCCCGUUGCCUCGGGAACCUCCCCAGCUCCAGGUGUGCAUGCCUACCGGCUGGGGAGGGACCAUCACUCCCCUCUGGCCACAGUGCUGACCAGGAUGGGUGACCGCACCCUCUGGAGCCGAGAGCGUGACCUCCCCAAGACCUGGAGAGCUGUGGGUUCAGAGCCGCUGGCAGUCACCUGCCACCAGAGGGAGUGGGCUUGUGGAGAAUGAGGCCAACACAGGCGGACAGAGCAGAGGAGAGGGACACAGACUGAGCUGAGAUCCUGGUCGGACCAGCCCAUAAAGCAGAAUCCUUGACUGAGCAAGCUCAAGGUGAAUCUGCUGUUAUUUGCAAUCAAAAUAUUCCUGGUAGACAUGGUCUCCUUUUACAGAAGCCAGGGUGGGGGACCCUGGCAGAGAAGCGGUGUGCCCCAUGGCGUAUGCAUCGCAAAUGAUACUCACUGUCAUGGGACUCACCCGCAGCACCUGGGAAGCUCGCUGCCCUCCCAGGACCUGGGGACGACGCAGGCAACCCUGUCACCUAUGCAGUUUGUUCCUCAAUCCCCUCAUGGUUGGUUCUGAGGGUUGCUCCUGGUUUGUUUUCCUAGUGCUCUUCUGAUCUGAGAUCCAGGUCAAGCACUCUUGCUUAACAAUGGAAUUGGCAUGUUUAAUGGGCUGAGGACAUUAUUUCACACAUAUUUAAUGAGCAGUGCUUUCUCACCUGUGCAGCUCUGCCAGUGGACAGCCUCACGGUUCAGUCCUCACUGUUUCCCAGCCCUAGAGAUGCAGCCCCGACUGUUCCUACUCUGGGCCUCCCUCAAUCAGAGUUGGGCACACAUUCAUUUGGUUUGAUUCUUCCCUUUUUGAACUGUGCUAAAUCCUAGGCACUGAGAAGAUGUCCUCUUUGCUGAUUUGCUACUUCUCUGUAUCCACAGUCAAUAUUUAUUCUCACAGUUGCCUGCACUGGGAUCUGCUACAAUAACUGCUUCUGAGCACCUUUCAUCUGUUCAUUCAGCAAUCAUUAAAUGCUCACUAAGUGCUAGACAUAACUGUGCAUAGCACCGGUGAGUCCCUGCCCUCAGAAGGUACUAACACACUCCAGAGUGUCUAGGGGCUGUGCACGCUGUCUUCCUGUAGUGUCUCCAGGUCUGUGUGACCCAAUGUUUCUUCCUUUACUGUGUACAGGGUGAAGGUUGCUAGACAUCUUCAUCUUGUGGGUGAUAAUCAUCUUUCUCUGUUUUCGAUUCUUUCCUCCUAUUGGUUGGAGAGUCAUUUCCUGUCCCUUCUGUUUCUCCCUUCCUGUUGACCCCCUGAAGACCUCUGUACCUACUGAACCCUCCGGCUCCUCUGUAGUGCAUUCUACUACAAGACGCACCCUAACGCUUAAUACACGGUACACAGGGUACUAAGGACCCCGUGUAACCACCCACUGAACUCUUACCACACCUCUGUGGGAUUGGAGAGUCAUGUGGACAAGAAUGGACUUUCUACAAUGAAUUAACUCCAAAUCUUUAUUUCACUCUCAUUCAAUUCCACUCCAUUAUUUUCUGAAUUCUGAAUAUUUAGAAUCAGAUUCAGCUAAUAUUUAACAGUGACUGCUUCUUGUAACCCUGGUACUUCAGUAAAAUGUAACAGAUGGAGAUGAAAUCAAGCCUGACUAAGGUGGCGUUCAUAUCACUGCUGGUGUGGUCUGGCCACUUCGGGCAUCAGGAUUUGACCAUAGCUGAGGUGGACAGGAUCCCACCAUGCAACUUGAAGAGAACCUGCUGACAGGACAGGGUGGAGUACUGGGUUCAUGCUCCAAGAAUCUCUUUUCCUCCAAAAACAGAAGUUCGGGGUAAAAUGAAAAGAAAAGAUAGAAUUUAAGACAAGCAUUUUUAAAGAUGCAGGCUGGCAUGGAAACACAGAGUGAUGCCUGUGAAGGGGCGGGCGGGCCUGUGGGUUAGGAGCAGAGGCCCGCACUGCUGGUAAAAGAGGUGAAAGUGUCCCCGGGAGACCGGAAGCAGAGGCGGGUGCUCGCCUGGAAGCCCAGGGCGUGGGGGCACUCCUUUCUUAACCUUUUUCUUUACAGAAGGAGGCUAGAAACAAUGGCUGCCAACGCUGAAGGAGCAGUGGCUCCCAUCCAGUCUGGGCCGGGAGAGAAGGGUGAGCAGCGGGCUUUCAAACAAACAACCCCCCCCAAACAAAAAGAAAACCAAAAGCAAAAAACUCAAGUCUUUCAUCAGCUCCACCACUGUAACUCCAUGACAUCUCUUCUUUCUCCUCUGAGCCCAUUAAACUGUACUUCCCGCUUGGACCGAUAUAAUCUAUUCAAAGACGUUUCUUCCUUUAAGCUGUUUAUCUCAGGUAUUUUGUCGCAGCAGUGCAAAACUUAUUACACAAUAAUAGAUACUGAAUUUAUGAUAUUGAUUACUUCUGAUAAGGGUGAUAGGAUUGAAAAUUGAUAAAGAGAGGAUCACAACUAUAUCUCCAUUUUUAUCUCUAUCUAUCUAUGUAUGUAUGUAUGUGUCAGUCAUCUCCUAUUAUAUUGAUAUAGGGGGAAUAAGUGUAACUCCUAACCUGCUGAAUGUCAGAUAUGCCAAGUUUGUGCUCCCCAAAAUUGAAGAAUGAAUUCUAAGGAAUAUCAGAGGUUAAGAGUAGGAAAAAUUUAUUGAGGGAAAGAGAGAGAGAGAGAGAGAGAGAAGGGGACCCAGAAGUGGGUUGCCAAUGAGCCCACUUCUCAAAGGAAGUUUGACAGAGCAAAAUCACAAGGUGGGUACAAUGUGGGUCAAAACUACAAUCAACCAAUGAGAUUAGAAGCACAGCUGCUUAGGCAAUGUUGAUCCAGUGGGGAAGCAGGUCACUUAGCAAGUGUGCAUGGAAAGAACAAAGACCUGUUAAGGGUCCGGGAUACCCACUGCGGCUACUGAUGUCCAUCUACGUGAGCAGGAUCCCACAUCCGUUGCUCAUCCUGGGGGAGGCAUGCAGGCCUGGUCACACGGUCCCCAUCCUGAGGCCUGGCCCUCGACCGAUGCACCUCCAGCCACAGCUGUGAUGUGUUCUCAUCCUCAGCCUGACUCCUGGAGGGCCCAGCCCUGUCUGCUUGCCCUAUUUCUACCCAACUUAGCUGUCCAUAAUAAUAUUUUUACAAAAAGGAUAUUAAAUAUUGCCAAAGGUUAAGAAUCAGUGAAGCUGGGUAAUUGGGUAUAAAGUUUUUUAUUAUAUUUCUUCUUGAGUAUAAAUUUGAAUUAUUGCACAAUAAAAAUGCAACAAAAAAGAAUACCUACAGAAAUACUGCAUUGGACUUGGGAUACGGACACUGUUAAGGCUGAAAAACAUCACGGUGAGAAGACAGAGCCUCCUGCUAGGAGAACGAACGAUGUGGGGUUUCGUACACUUCAUCAUCAUACUGUAUGAAAAUGAUACCUGCAAGUGGUGAUUUCAGUCCCUCCUGGGAGGAGCAGCGCAGGGCCUCGGUGUUUUGCUUUUUAGUUCCCGAUAUUCCUCCGUGAAGGCUGAUUCUGCUGUCCCUCCCUGGUGUCCUGCAUUUUGGCCUAGAAUAUGUGAUUUUUCAGGCAAGAGAAAAACAAUGAGAAUGUGAUCCUUCGGAGCCUCUGACAUCACCUGCACUCAGAAAAUCCUGCCUUUAAUUGCUCAGUGCCUGGAUUAUUGUGGGGUAAAACUGGGACCUCAGGUAGGGAGGCAAAACCCAAGAAGCCCCCGAGGUGCGCUGGUUUACUUGACAAAGGCAGAGUUCACAUCAUAAAGGCAGAAGGGAGAGGAAGAGUCCCAGCUGGGUCUUGGCUCAGUGCAGAAGCCCCCGACUCCAGCAGGAACCCCGGUCAGACUGAGUCACAGCUGAGAACCUGAGGUCCACUGAGUAGACACUGGGAAGCUGGGUGCCUCACUCCCUUGCUCCUGGGCUCUUGGUGCUGCUGAUGGAAGAAUCCAGUCAAGGCUCACAGGGAGUACAGACGUCUAAGUAGAGUCUACAUUAAGUAGGUACUGAGAGCCUUACGCCUUCGUUGGAGAGAAGGAAGACAGUGCCACGGAGGCAUCUGCCCUGAGCAUGAGUUUGGAUUCCUUUUUAUGUCCACAGAACCUACUCCUGGGGUUAAGGGAACUAGGGUGACAUUUCUCUUAGGGAUGACUUUGGGAUGUCAAUAUCUAAAAAAUCUCAGUGUUCCUGCAGGGGCCUAACUCCUGUGAGAAUCUAAAGUAGGUCUCAGCCCCAGGAGGAAGGUCUUCAAAGAAUGCAACUCUUCCUGAUACCGUUGGGCACAGACCAUGGCACCCAGGAAUGCUGUGUGUCUUGUUUUGGAAGUAGCCAGGUGGCCAGCAGCAGAAGGAAUGUGCACACGUGUAACCUUAAAAUGGUACUGUGCUCGGUGGGACCAACGCAGGUCAAAGACCUUGCCAACAAAUCAUUAUAAAUGUGUUAUACAAUGAGGUCUUUAUUUCUGUACCUAACUACAACUGGAAAAGCAUGCUAUUUAGCAGGCCCCAGACCCACUAAUGUCUAAUUAUUUGCCUGACAGAUAUAACAUUGUUCAACAUUCUUCCUCCCUUGAGCAGUCUGAAGUUUCACAGGAGAACAUCAUGAAUCUGCUUCAGGCAGGUGCAUCCUUCUACUUUGUUACCUGGUUUAUCUCCAACCACAUCUGUGUCAGGCAGAAUUAUUUUCCUAAGAGUAGAGAUGAGAAAACUAGCUCAGAGGGGUUGACUUGCUCAAGGUUGUAUGUCCAUGAAGAGGGUUUGGAGGGGCUCAAAUCCAAGUCUACACUGAGCCAGGCUGGAGUAGGCUUUGGGAAUGUAGCACACAGGACACGUGGGAAGAACUUUACCAUUUGGUGGUAGACAAGAUAUCUGUACUGGAGCCAUUGAGGUUGUUCUCAAGGCAUCCGCCCUCGUGGAAACAAUGCUGUGUGCAUAGGGUGCGUACAGGGCCGGCCAGCAAUGGCGCCUUUGGGCUUUGCUAGCGCUGGCUCAGCUGCUUCCUCUGAACAGAUGCAGAGAUCCCUUGAUGUCUCUUUUGCUUUACAGUGAAAUGAUACCAUAUCUCCUUUGGGGGAGAAAGACGGAAGCUUUCUUUCAGUCAAGUGCUCUGGAGAAUGCUCUUUGGAAGAAAGGUGCUUUGGCCUGGUUCCCUCAGGGUGAGUGAUCCUUGUAAGCGUGGGACUGGGAGCCCUGUAAGGGCCGAGGCUGGGUUCUUCGCAUCUGUGCUGCACAGAGCCAGGCCUGAUAUCACUGUGGAUUAUUUUCUAGGCAUAGGUGACAAGGAGUGGGCAGCCCCGUGGGGAUAGCUCACCCACCCUGGUAGAGGAAGGCUGCAUUGCUUCUGGGAUGCAUCUGGAACUUUGAGAUUUACUUUCACUCUACCCUGGACCUUGGCAAAGAGGCCAGCUGGCUUGGGACCCUCCCUGCAUGGCCACGCAUCAUCGGCUCUAAUUGUUUAUCCUGAGAGUCUGUGGGAUUGGGACUGUCAUGGAGCUUCCACACACCUCUGGGGAAGACUCCUUCAUGACUUAUAAUUUUCUUGUUGUUGUCUGAGCGCUUGGAGCCCUCAUGGGGGCUUGAUCCCAGGGGUCGCCUCUAGGGGUUCAUAGCUUGGAGCGAAAGGUGAGUUCUUUUAAAGUCAGUGGUAACUCCUGGUCCUUCCCUUUCCACUCCAGCCCACAGUGGACCUCUGCUCACUCCCUUUGGCUCAGAGAAGCUGUGGUCCUUGAGUUUGGGGUCCCAUUCCAGUCAUCCCCCACCACUGCUCCCAGGUUCUGAGUGUGUUUGGUUUUUCUAUUCUACCCACAGAAGGAGAAGUAGCUACUCUACUAGGAGAAGUAGCUGGGGGCAGGUGAGUGGCACCUCUGGAGAUCUUGGGGUACAGGCCAUCUGCUUCUGGUGUACACCCAUGUUGGAGACUGCUAGGGCAGAGCCAAAGAAAUGAGGGGGCGGUGUGUGGGAAGUGUCCCCUGUGAGGCAGACCUAAAGCAGCGAUCCCUGACUUCAGUAUAACCCAGCCUUCUCUAGAGUCUUCCCAGUUUGUGAUCUUGUAUCUGUCUUUUAGAUGCUCUUUCACAGAGCCACUGUGCUUUUCAAUAUCAAACCAUUUCUUAAGUGAGGAAAGCAAAGCACACAGAACUCUGCUGAUUUCCUUAAGCUCACAGAGUAAGGGUGCUGAGGUCCUUUCAUCUGCUGCUGCCCCCCUUACAUAAACCUUCAGUCCAAUUAAAACCAACCUGCUGUUGUUCCUGGGCAGCUUCCCACCACCCCAAGUCCCACUGAAGUCCAAGCCCCUGGCUCUCCUUUCCCUGGGCAGCUGCAGUGACUGCAGGGCUUCCCAGAGGGCACUGGCAGUAUCCGCAGUGAGUCUGUGCCCCACCGUAUCGCUGAGCUGCGGGAAGAACAGGGCCACUGUUCCCAGCUGGGGAGUGGGAGCUGGAAGCCCACAGAGCCUGCCUCUCCGGCCCCUUUCUGCCGCCUCACGGGCGUGGCUGGCUGGGGUCUGCUGUGUGUGAGACGGGCGAGGCUGCCCAGGUCCUCCUCUGCUUCCUCUUGCAUUUGAUCCUAGCACGGGAGGCCAAGCCUGUGUAGUUUGGAGGCCCUGGAACCCCCGGAAUGGAUCCUUUGCAUUCUGAGUUCCAUGAGGUUUUAGGAAGGGCGCUGCCCUGGGAGGACAUUUGGGGAGGAUGGUGGGCCCUGGCACCUGGCCUCGUUUGUCCCUGCCAGCUGGUGGAAGCCAGGCCUGUGGCAGUCCUGCAAGCUGGGUGCUUUUGUUCCUCUUCCCAGCUUCCUGGCAACCAAGAAAAUCUAAAGCCUGGGUGGACCAGAGUUUAAAAACAGCUUUCCAGGAGAUUUGAAAUUAAAUUUAGAAGAAAAGGAAAUUAUAUAUGAAAAUCAAUUCCAUUUGCCUCCUGCACAAGGCCAGCGACCGAGGCGCCGUCGUUGCCCAGCAGAGAGGAGGUGGCUAUAGCACUGGCCCCAGAUCGGGUGGCUCUUCUAUCUAAAGCGUCGCCGGAUCUCAUGGCGUGAGGGCCACAGGAUCACAGGGGCGCUGUUCUCAUCACUGGAUUCAUCCAUCCGUGAGUUCACAGCGGACGCGCCCUCGGGAGGUGGGGCCUGGCUGGAAAUGGCAGCCGGUGAGCUGGAAGGGCGCGUUCUUGUCCCUGCUCCUCCUUCUCCCUCUGCUUCCUGGCCGCCAUGAGGUGAUCAGCUUUUCUCCGCCCUGCACUUCCACUGUGCCGUUCCUGCCUUGGAGCUGCCAACCAUGGAUUGAAACCGGGAGGCAAAAUAAACCUCUCCUCAUUGACGUUGUGGGUGUUGGGUAUUUGCCCCAGCCAGCAACAGGAAAUGUUUCAAUCCAAUCCGUUCGACAGCUUGAGUUUAUCCCUGGAGUCUUAAAGGACACAGUUGAGGGGCAGACAGUGGAGGAGAGGCUGGUGGAGACUCAAGCUCUUUCUUAGAAUCAUUUAGUUUAAUUUUAGGUUCUCAGUAUGGACUUUAAGGCAGGGUCUCUUUGGCCUUUGUUAAUUAGACGCCAGGGUUGGGGAAACAAUAAUGACACAUGCCCACUGCGUCCAACCUUCACCCUCCCUGGGUGUCACUCAGCCCCCAGGCCCCACCUCGCUGUGGAGAAGAGGCAACAGAUGACUUGGGGACAGCUGAGCUGCUGGGUGGUGGCAGAAGCACGGUAUGGAUCCAUCAAACAGGGGCCUCCAGUUUAACACAAGACAAUCACGUCUGUUUUCCCCACAGUCCAGAGUGGGGCAGGGUUCAGCAACUCUCAGCCCAGGCUCCAAAUCCAGCUUGCAAAGCUCAUGAAUUAGAAAUGUUUUGUUUUUUGUUUUUUUACAUUUUUAAAGCAUUACACACACACACACACAC
ensembl:lncRNA